CUUUACCGUAGUAAAGAUAGGUUAAGUUAGGAAGGGCGCAUGGUGAAUGCCUUGGUACUAGGAGCCGAUGAAGGACGGGACUAACACCGAUAUGCCUCGGGGAGCUGUAAGUAAGCUUUGAUCCGGGGAUUUCCGAAUGGGGGAACC
rnacentral:rRNA from 1 species